CGGAAAGGCCCUUUCGGGGGUGCUCGAGUGGCGAACGGGUGAGUAACACGUGGGUGAUCUGCCCUGCACUUUGGGAUAAGCCUGGGAAACUGGGUCUAAUACCGGAUAGGACUACGCACUGCAUGGUGUGUGGUGGAAAGCUUUUGCGGUGUGGGAUGGGCCCGCGGCCUAUCAGCUUGUUGGUGGGGUGAUGGCCUACCAAGGCGACGACGGGUAGCCGGCCUGAGAGGGUGUCCGGCCACACUGGGACUGAGAUACGGCCCAGACUCCUACGGGAGGCAGCAGUGGGGAAUAUUGCACAAUGGGCGCAAGCCUGAUGCAGCGACGCCGCGUGAGGGAUGACGGCCUUCGGGUUGUAAACCUCUUUCACUAGGGACGAAGCGCAAGUGACGGUACCUAGAGAAGAAGCACCGGCCAACUACGUGCCAGCAGCCGCGGUAAUACGUAGGGUGCGAGCGUUGUCCGGAAUUACUGGGCGUAAAGAGCUCGUAGGUGGUUUGUCGCGUUGUUCGUGAAAACUCACAGCUUAACUGUGGGCGUGCGGGCGAUACGGGCAGACUGGAGUACUGCAGGGGAGACUGGAAUUCCUGGUGUAGCGGUGGAAUGCGCAGAUAUCAGGAGGAACACCGGUGGCGAAGGCGGGUCUCUGGGCAGUAACUGACGCUGAGGAGCGAAAGCGUGGGGAGCGAACAGGAUUAGAUACCCUGGUAGUCCACGCCGUAAACGGUGGGUACUAGG
rnacentral:rRNA from 1 species